GGGUUGUGAGGUUAAGCGACUAAGCGUACACGGUGGAUGCCCUGGCAGUCAGAGGCGAUGAAGGGCGUGCUAAUCUGCGAUAAGCGCCGGUAAGGUGAUAUGAACCGUUAUAACCGGCGAUACCCGAAUGGGGAAACCCAGUGUGACUCGUCACACUAUCAUUAACUGAAUCCAUAGGUUAAUGAGGCGAACCGGGGGAACUGAAACAUCUAAGUACCCCGAGGAAAAGAAAUCAACCGAGAUUCCCCCAGUAGCGGCGAGCGAACGGGGAGGAGCCCAGAGCCUGAAUCAGCAUGUGUGUUAGUGGAAGCGUCUGGAAAGGCGCGCGAUACAGGGUGACAGCCCCGUACACAAAAGCGCAUGUGCUGUGAGCUCGAUGAGUAGGGCGGGACACGUGGUAUCCUGUCUGAAUAUGGGGGGACCAUCCUCCAAGGCUAAAUACUCCUGACUGACCGAUAGUGAACCAGUACCGUGAGGGAAAGGCGAAAAGAACCCCGGCGAGGGGAGUGAAAAAGAACCUGAAACCGUGUACGUACAAGCAGUGGGAGCACCCUUUUGGGUGUGACUGCGUACCUUUUGUAUAAUGGGUCAGCGACUUAUAUUCUGUAGCAAG
rnacentral:rRNA from 1 species